rnacentral:rRNA from 1 species
GACGAACGCUGGCGGCGUGCUUAACACAUGCAAGUCGAACGGUGAAGCGCCUUCCUUUUUGGUGGGUGUGGAUGAGUGGCGAACGGGUGGGUAACACGUGAGUAACCUGCCCCCUUCUUCUGGAUAACCGCAUGAAAGUGUGGCUAAUACGGGAUAUUCUGGGUCUGUCGCAUGAUGGGUCUGGGAAAGAUAUUGUUUCGGUGGGGGAUGGGCUCGAGGCCUAUCAGCUUGUUGGUGGGGUGAUGGCCUACCAAGGCGGUGACGGGUAGCCGGCCUGAGAGGGUGGACGGUCACACUGGGACUGAGACACGGCCCAGACUCCUACGGGAGGCAGCAGUGGGGAAUAUUGCACAAUGGGCGCAAGCCUGAUGCAGCGACGCCGCGUGAGGGAUGGAGGCCUUCGGGUUGUGAACCUCUUUCGCCAGUGAAGCAGGCCUGCCUCGUUUGUGGGUGGGUUGACGGUAGCUGGAUAAGAAGCGCCGGCUAACUACGUG